CCUACGGGAGGCAGCAGUGAGGAAUAUUGGUCAAUGGACGAGAGUCUGAACCAGCGAAGUAGCGUGAAGGAUGACUGCCCUAUGGGUUGUAAACUUCGUUUAUAUGGGAAUAAAAUGUUCCACGUGUGGGAUAUUGUAUUGACCAUAUGAAUAAGGGACGGCUAGGUCAGUGCCAGGAGCGCCGGUAAUGCUGAAGAUACGAUCGUUAUGCGGAUUGAUUGGGUUUAAAGGGAGCGUAGGUGGUUUGUUAAGUCAGUUGUGAAAGUUUGCGGCUCAACCGUAAAAUUGCAGUUGAAACUGGCAGUCUUGAGUGCAUUAGAGGUGGGCGGAAUUCGUGGUGUAGCGGUGAAAUGCUUAGAUAUCACGAAGAACUCCGAUUGCAAAGGCAGCUCACUGGACUGCAACUGACACUGAGGCUCGAAAGUGUGGGUAUCAAACAGGAUUAGAUACCCGGGUAGUC
rnacentral:rRNA from 1 species